GUCUGCGUGUCGAAAUGGUUAUCAGGCAUGACUUAAAAUCAUGUGAGCUUUGUCUGCCCUUGCAGGUUCGAAUCCUGCCUCUGACG
rnacentral:tRNA from 1 species